GGGAGAUGACGUUGGAGGAACGAGAAUUGAUCAUUCUUUUUCUAUACAUCAUGGGCGUCGAGAACUGCUAAUCCUAAGAGUCAUGGAAGUAAGAAAUAACAUGUCUUACAUGUGACUUCUAUAUAAUCAAAUAAGAGCCAGAAAUUAAACAGAAGAGAAGUGUGUUUGUUUAUCGAGAAGCGGUACGAAUACAAGUGGGAAUGAAAAGGCUAUGACGUAAGAAAAGGAAAGACCAGAGAGAACAAAGCAGUCUUGAAUGGAUCAAUGAAAAGAAAUGUCAGAGAAAAAAGUAUUAAGUACGAUACUGACAGAAAGUAACGAUUGAGUAAAGAGUAUAAAGUUGAGUUUGGAGAAGACCAGAGAAAGAGUAUGAUAUUUAGUAGACCAGAUAUAGAACAAAGGAUUAAGUCAAAUUCAUUUUUCUAAAUUCCAGAAAUGCAUCUCAAGGUAAUUGAAGCCACGGAAUUGGUAUUCAAAGGUACUAAUGGAGAGAGUAAUACGUUUUGUGUUUUUAUCGCGAAUCAGCUCCUAUUAGGAAAUAAAACACAGCUGUACAAAAUCCAUGGGAAAAAAAUUUUCAGUUAUGAGUUGCUUCUUCGAUGAUUUAUAAUUACUUCUCUUUAUGCGAUUAUUGUGUCUGGAUGUGUGUAAUACUCCAUACUCUAAGAUUAUAUACUACUAUAUCAACAACUUUGAGCACAUAGCAAGUAAUACUAAAUCGGACGAAGAUGCAAUCAGAUAUCAAAUUAAGGUAAUUCAGUUAAUUGGAGCAGAUUUACGAAAAUCUAUAGAUUGUUACAACAAGGUGUUCAUGAAGAAAGUUAUAUAAAAACUAUAUUAUUAUUAUCGGAAUUUAUUUUAUAUUCGUUUAUGUAAAAAUAUCAUUUCUCGGAAAAGUAAUUUCCCGUAGACAAGAACGUUGUACAUUAUGUAUGAAAAAAAGCAAAAAAUAAUUUACAUGUGCAUGUAUGCUGUGAAAGAUGUGUUUACUGAGGUUGAAACGCAUAGAAGUCGAUAGUAAUAAUGAUUCUGAGUUGACGCUUGUUCAAAUUCCAUCUCACAUUUCAACGAUA